GCGCCUGAAGAGGAGCCUGCGGCAGAUUAGCUAGUUGGUAGGGUAACGGCUUACCAAGGCGACGAUCUGUAACCGGCCUGAGAGGGCGGUCGGUCACACUGACACUGACAUACGGGUCAGACUCCUACGGGAGGCAGCAGUCGGGAAUUUUGGGCAAUGGGCGAAAGCCUGACCCAGCAACGCCGCGUGAAGGAUGAAAUCCCUCGGGAUGUAAACUUCGCAAGAAUGGGAAGAAUGAGUAGGGGCUAAUACUCCCUAUGAUGACGGUACCAUUUGUAAGCUCCGGCUAACUCCGUGCCAGCAGCCGCGGUAAUACGGGGGGAGCAAGCGUUGUUCGG
rnacentral:rRNA from 1 species